CUUAAAUGCUUACUCAGGAAGAAUUUUAAUUGAAGCCAACUGAACAAAACCUUAUUGAGUUCUUACUCAGGCAAAAUAGGCAAAACAACUACCGACCUCCAGCAGAUCCAUGCUGAGGACAAAGUAAAGCAGACUGAGAGCAUUUCUGUACUGCACAAUGCUUUUUAAAGCUAUUUCAGGAUGUGAAUGCAGGACAAGCCGACUCUGACAGAAAAUCCCAUCAGGGUGUGUCUGUCGACUAUGAUAAGAAUGUGGCUAUUGUUACAUCAAACAAUGGCCAGCAAUCAUGGGUCUCUGUUUUGGACUACAAGACUAAACCUGAAGGUCAAAGGCCUCCUCCAAAUGAGUUGAGAUACACUGUCUCAGAAAAGAAAAUCCAGGACAUCACCCAAUAUGGAGAAGACAUUGCUGCUCUGUGCCAUGGCUUGCCUGCUUAUGAGGCUCAUAUGAUGCAGGGAGCAAACUUUUUCUAUUUAGGAGGAUGUCUGAAUCUGAACAUCCUGUACAUCCUACGUAUGGACUUAUGUCUUGGUGUUUAAAAAUAAGUUUUGGGCUGCCCUGAACCAGUCUUCCAAUUUCCCCUGUGACUGGACAACACCAUUUAUCUUAGUGACAUUCCAUCUUCUGAAUAUUUGACUCUGUCUUCCCUUUAUGAUUUCUAUGUCGAAGAAACUUAGACUGAGAAACUAACUUUCAAUUAAACACAUUUAGUGUUCAUGUCAUAU
rnacentral:lncRNA from 1 species